rnacentral:rRNA from 1 species
UACGUAGGGUGCGAGCGUUAAUCGGAAUUACUGGGCGUAAAGCGUGCGCAGGCGGUUCGUUAAGUCAGAUGUGAAAGCCCCGGGCUCAACCUGGGAACUGCAUUUGAAACUGGCGGGCUUGAGUAUGGCAGAGGGGGGUGGAAUUCCGCGUGUAGCAGUGAAAUGCGUAGAGAUCAGGAAGAACAUCGGUGGCGAAGGCGCUCUGCUGGACCAUAACUGACACUCAGGGACGAAAGCUAGGGGAGCGAAUGGG